AGCGGGGUCAAGGGACAGCCACGCUGGGACGGAGGACGGGGACAGGGGAGCCCCUGCGGCGCCACUUCUUCCUCUCCGAGUCCUGUCUGCCCUUGAUGGAGCCACUGGUGGGGUUACUUGCUGGCGGUCGGCCACUUUCGCCCCUCCCUCGCCAGCCCGCCAGCUCCCUAAGGUUUUGUGGUUUUUUGUCACCACCACACCUCAGUGUUGAGCUAAGUGAGGACGUCCCCCCAGCAAAUGUAUUGGACGGAAGGAAACGCUGUGCGGGAGGAGGCGGAGGAAAGUAGGCCACCCGGGGCUCAAGUGGUGAGAAGAGGCAGCCAGGCAGGGUGGAAGGUGGGGUGUGGCCAGCUUGUUGGGUGUCCCACCCUGUGCUGUUGGGGGCGUGGAGGGUAGUGUGGGGUGGCCAGGGCGGGCUCACGUCCUCAUCCCCCUCCUCUUUCCCAGAACCACACCCAAACCCUCUUCAACCCCCUGUGUGUGGGCUGUGGCAGGGGUCAACCUCUUGUGUUCAGGUCCCCUAGGGGCCCACCCCACUCUACUAGGAACCAGGGGUCGGAUGCUGUCAGGGGAAGCCGUGUGGCUUGAGGAGUCGAGACCCUUUCCAAAUCCACCCCUGUGGAAUCUUGAGCAAAUCCCCACACCCAACUUAGCUUCAGUGUGGUGGAGGUGGGCCCAGCGCCUCUCUUGAGGGAGUGCUGCUGUAGGUACCUUCCAGCAGGCCAGGCUCCUGAGCUGGGAUCACCAUGAAGCUGGCAUCUCUCCUGGUAGCACCUAUUCUGGGGCCUUGAGCUCCGACACUCUUACGCUGGAGUUGAACUUAAGCUGCAGCGGGAGGGCUUUAAGCUAGACCCGCAGAAUUUGAGCUCUAAGGACUUGCUUAAGAUUGGGAGAGUAACUUCUUCUGCAAGGGGGCCAGCAGAGGGGCUCUCGGGUUGAAGGAGGGUUAUGCUGGCCCAAGCAUUGCCAUCAUAGCCACAGCUGGGCUGUGCCUCAGAGUCUGCAGGAGCAGGGCCCUUGGCCUUGGCUCCCAGGACAGUUGGGAGAUGGAGGGCAGCCCCAGUAGCUGCCAUCUUCCUGUCAUCUACCCACACGUCUCCAGAUCUGUUUGCCUGCAUCAGGGCCUGACUCCUGCCCCACAUGGGCCUGUGUACCAUUCAAGAAGAAAGCUUAGCUGUCUCCAACCCCGGCAUUCCCACAAGGGAAAGCUUGAGAUCUGCUGAGGGAGGGUCCUGGGAAGAGGCCUUCUUCUGUUCUCCUGUACAGCAGAGGUGUUGGCAUGUGCACGUGUGUGUCUGCAUGUGUGUGCAUCUGUGAACAUCUGUCUGUGGCUCUCGUUCUGAGCACCUGUGUGUCUCCGCUUCUGCCUUGUUCUGUCUUGGCACCUCUGGGUGUCUGUAUGUCUUUUUCUAAUCCUGGCUCUCUUCUUGUGCUUCUCUGGGCCUCGUCUUUUCAUCUUUGUGUUUUUUGCUUACUGUAUUGUAAUAUCCAUUUCCAUGCUGGAAUUCUCCUACCAGACCAUGGGCUCUGUGAGGGCAAAGACUGUCUUUUAUCUUCCCAUGUGUGCACAUAGUAGGAGCCUAGUACAUUUCUGUGGAGUAAAUGAAUGGAGAUCUGGCUCUGUUAAGAAUCCCUUAGUGUCUGUGUCUCUGGCUGCCUGACUUUCUGGGUCUCUGUGACCCUCAGAAGCUAGUUUUGUGGUUCUGUGUAGGGGUAUACCUGGUUUAUUCCCAUGCAUAUGUGUAUUUCUUGUGGUAGUUUUUCUCUCCUUGUCUAUGUCUGUUUCAGGUUUGUUGAUCUGCCUGAAUGUCUCUGCAUGUGGCCCCACAUCUCUCCUCAUGCCUGCUGGUCUCAGAGUAUAAUGGAUGCUGAGUCCAAAGCAGGUGUUUCCUGGGCAUUCGUGGCAGGGGAAUUGGACUUCCAAAUCUGCCCCCUCUCCACGUGGGUGAGCUUCUCCCAGACUCUCCAUCAUAAGAGGCUGUGAGCACCCGAAACUGAUCACCUUCUCAGCCUAGAAUGGGAGUGAGCUGUGGUCCUCUCCCUCUCUUCCUCUCACUGUGACCCCAAUCACAGCACCUGCCCUUCUCUAAUUGGCUGAUGUCAAUGGAAGGGGGAAGGGAAGGCUGAUGUCCAAGGAGGAAAUCCCAUUAGAGAACAAGCACCAAGCCCUGUGGAUUUCAGAAGAACUCCACCUCCACAGAGUCCUCAAAGAUCUUCUCCUGAACUCCGCACUCCCCAGCCUUGAGAGGAGACACAGGAGCUGGAGGAAGCAGCUUUAUCCCUCACUUUGUGGUUCAGUCCAGCCUGUUUUCCAAGGGGUAAAGGGCAGUGGAAG
rnacentral:lncRNA from 1 species